UGAAUAAUAAUAAAAAAGAAGUUGAAUGAAUUUAGGGAUUAGGGUUGAUGUGUAACCUUCGAGCUCUUUCCCUCAGCUUCGUCUCCACUCAUCAGAAACGGCGCACGGCUUCGAAUUCUCUCCGGCGAAAUAAACCCUCUCUCCACCACCGUGAAGCUGAAAGCACAACGAAAAUCUCCACUCUCCGCCUUGCUCUCUGUUUUGCUUCUACGAUCGCUCACUCUCUUUCUUUUCGAUUUCUCCCUCUCCGAUUGUUAAUCCCCGAUCUUCAAGCUUGAUGAGGUGAAGAAUAAGCGCUUCGUGAAUUCAAUUGCUCUUCUCGCCUCUUCUUUUUCUGUAUUUUGACUUCUGAUUUGCUGUCGAGGAAUUGAUGAUGAUGUUGAUGCGUUUCGCCAAUGAAGAUGAAAAGGAAGCGGAGAUUUGAUGAUUAUCGUUGACGAAGAUGAAGAUGGUUCAAGAUUGAUGAUUUGAGGAAGAGAUUGGUGAAUGAGAGUGGUUCAGAUGAUGAAUGGCGUGGAUUGAGGCUUCAGAGAGAGGUUCCGAUUUCUGGAGGUUAGAGAGAAUUGAAGAGAGAUGAAGAUGGUGAGGUCUGAAGAAUGGUUGAGGAUGGAAACAGAGUGAAGGUUAUGAAGAAUCGAAGGGUGGUGGUGAUGAAGGUUCAAAGAUAGUGUGAAUUGAGAGUGGAAGCAGAGUGGUGAAGGAGUGAAGAAUGGGAGUGAAGUGAAGAUGGUGAUGAAGUGAAGAGUGUGGUGGUUAUGAUGCGUGUCCCCUUGAAUGAAGGUGGGAAAUUUGAAUAUAUAGAAGAAGGAGAAUGAUUCAGUUGAGGGAGAAUUGAUCUGGGCCAUUAGAUUAGGGUAAGUUAGUUAUUAGAUGGAGGGAGGAGAUUGAGAGUUAAGAGGUUAGUUAGAUAGUUGGUUAAAUUUCUGUUAUAGUUGGUUAGGAUAGUUAAGAGUUAUGAAUGCUGUUAGUUAGUUUAGGUAAUGGAUAGGUUAGUAGUUAGGAAAUCUGUUAGAGAAAUCGGUUAGGUGGUUGAGAAUUGCCUAGGUUAUUAGAAAGUGGUUAGAGAACUGUUAGGGAAUCAGUUAGAAAUCGGUUAAGGAACUAUUAUAUCAGUUAGAAGCUGAGUUAGUUGAAAUGAAAACAGUUAGAAGGUGAGGAAAAUUUAGUUAGGGGAAUGGUAGUUAGAUUUCGAAGGUGUUUGUGUAUAAUUAUAUUAUGUUGAAGAUUCUGAUUUAGGUAUAGAUACAUUAUGUGGGACUGGUAAUUAGUGGAUGCAUUUGGAUUUAGUAUGGGUUUUUAUGAACUGAUUUUUGGGUCUGCUAUGGGGGAUUUUGCUUGUGUUUGAAUGUGUUUAUAUCUGUUUCUUUGAAUUGCAGGGCACGCCCCCGUUGGUACGAUGCUGGCUGAACUAGUUAUCGGAUUGAGCUUCACAUUCAGUUUAUAUGGGAAGCAAGGAUGUCACGUGGAUCGGCUAUUCGGGGCUGCCAUGAACUUCUCUUGUUGUUUUUUUCCGCUUGAGCUCGAGUAACAAAUCAAACUUGGCAACAUCGUUACUGACUUUGGCCUUCGCAUCAGAAACUUCAUGAAGUUAAAUAAUGCACUAGUGAAUUGGACUUCUGCUGGAUGAUCCAUUCUGUCUUACUUGAUGUUUAACUUCUUACCACUUUGAGAUUUGAAUAUUGUGAAUGUAGGUACACUGUGAUGCAUUUAUAUUUGAAUGAAUAUUCCUGAAACAGUAUGGCACUUGGAAGAUUGAAAAUUCCUUCUAUUUGAGAACCUAUAGAUGAAUCUUUGCAAGGAACUCUUAAUGGAUGGAUGUUGUAUGAACUUGUAAUAAAUGUGAUGUAAGAAUAUUUUUGUAAUGAAGUUUGCAAGGCCUUUUGGUUUAUGGAUUUGGUUUUGUAAUUAUGAAUGGAAUGGUCUUGAAUAAUAUUGAACUUGAAUAAUGUUGCCUUGUGAUUCAUAGAUGGACCUUCAAAUAAAUGUAUAAUUAGGUACUCGAGAAUGGGCAUUUGAUC